CCUACGGGGGGCAGCAGUGGGGAAUAUUGGACAAUGGGGGCAACCCUGAUCCAGCCAUGCCGCGUGUGUGAAGAAGGCCCUCGGGUUGUAAAGCACUUUCAGUGAGGAAGAACGCCUGGUGGUUAAUACCCAUCAGGAAAGACAUCACUCACAGAAGAAGCACCGGCUAACUCCGUGCCAGCAGCCGCGGUAAUACGGAGGGUGCGAGCGUUAAUCGGAAUUACUGGGCGUAAAGCGCGCGUAGGUGGCUUGAUAAGCCGGUUGUGAAAGCCCCGGGCUCAACCUGGGAACGGCAUCCGGAACUGUCAAGCUAGAGUGCAGGAGAGGAAGGUAGAAUCCCCGGUGGAGAGGUGAAAUGCGUAGAGAUCGGGAGGAAUACCAGUGGCGAAGGCGGCCUUAUGGACUGACACUGACACUGAGGUGCGAAAGCGUGGGUAGCAAACAGGAUUAGAUGCCCGAGUAGUC
rnacentral:rRNA from 1 species